ACGAACGCUGGCGGCAGGCUUCACACAUGCAAGUCGAGCGCCCCGCAAGGGGAGCGGCAGACGGGUGAGUAACGCGUGGGAACGUACCUUUUGGUUCGGAACAACUCCGGGAAACUGGAGCUAAUACCGGAUAAGCCCUAACGGGGAAAGAUUUAUCGCCGAAAGAUCGGCCCGCGUCUGAUUAGCUAGUUGGUGAGGUAACGGCUCACCAAGGCGACGAUCAGUAGCUGGUCUGAGAGGAUGAUCAGCCACACUGGGACUGAGACACGGCCCAGACUCCUACGGGAGGCAGCAGUGGGGAAUAUUGGACAAUGGGCGCAAGCCUGAUCCAGCCAUGCCGCGUGAGUGAUGAAGGCCUUAGGGUUGUAAAGCUCUUUUGUCCGGGAAGAUAAUGACUGUACCGGAAGAAUAAGCCCCGGCUAACUUCGUG
rnacentral:rRNA from 1 species